UACAGAGGGUGCAAGCGUUAAUCGGAAUUACUGGGCGUAAAGGGUGCGUAGGUGGUUAAUUAAGUCAGAUGUGAAAUCCCAAGGCUUAACCUUGGACUGGCAUUUGAAACUGAUUAGCUAGAGUACAGAAGAGGGAAGUGGAAUUUCCGGUGUAGCGGUGGAAAUGCGUAGAUAUCGGAAAGGAACAUCAGUGGCGAAGGCGACUUCCUGGUCUGUUACUGACACUGAGGCACGAAAGCGUGGG
rnacentral:rRNA from 1 species